AAUGAACGCUGGCGGCAGGCCUAACACAUGCAAGUCGAGGGGUAGAACUCUUCUCUGCUUGUGACCUACCCACGGAUGCGUGACUCAUGUGCAAUCAUAUCCUUAUACUUAAGGGAUAGACCACAUCACAUUUGGAUAUGUACCUUCACUGGUACAUACCUUCGGCAUCAAGUUUAGUUAUCUUCAUUUCUUGCUCUAAUAUAAGAAUCCAUCCCAUAAUAUCUAUGUGGAGGGAACAACUUCCCCCGACGAUACAUAUCUGAUGGGUCCUCAGAGAGGAUAUACCCCCACACUGUGUACAUCGUAGACACCGACCACACAUCCUCCCGGAAGGAACCAUGAGGAAUAUAUGGUCACAUGGACGGAAAUCUUAACUCACCCCUGCCCCGUGGAGGAUAGAAACAUCUAUGGUGUGUAAACUGCUUUUGUACAGGAAGAAGAUACCUUACUUGUUAUGCACUGACUGUGCCAUAUUACUCAAGAUCGGCUAACUCCUUGCUCUCUGCCGCCGUACUACGGAAUAUCCAAGCGUUAUCCGGAAUCCUUGAUUUUUAAGGGGUCCGUACGCGGUCUUAUAACUCAUCGGUGAAAUGUUUUGGCUUACCAAAUUAAUUGCCAUUGAUACUGCUAGGCUUGAAUUAUUGUGAAGUAACUAGAAUAUGUAGUGUAGCGGUGAAAUGCUUAGAUAUCUGAUGGGAAUACCGAUUGCGAAGGCAGGCUUCUGGCACUGGUAUUGACGCUGAUGGGCGAAAGCGUGGGUAGCGAACAGGAUUAGAUACCCUGGUAGUCCACGCCGUAAACGAUGGCUACUAGCUGUUUGUUCCAUUGGAGCAUUGGCGAAGCAACUGUGAUAAUUAUCCCACCUGCGGAGUACUACCGCCAGCCUGAUACUCCUCGGAUGUGACGGCGGCCCCCCCCACCGGCGGAGCAGCAGGUUUAUUUCUUCGAUGCGCCACGAACCUUUGCUGGGGUUCUUUGCGUUUUGACAGAUCUGCAAACAGAUCCUUUGCAGGACAAACUUCCAGGUGCUGCAUGGUUGUCGUCAGCUCGUGUCGUGAGAUGUCAGGUUAAGUCCUACAACGAGCGCAACCCUUGUCGUUAUUUGCCAGCGAGUGAUGUCGGGAACUCUAACAAGACUGCCAGUGUCAACUGUGAGGAAGGUGGGGAUGACGUCAAGUCAUCACGGCCCUUACGUCCAGGGCCACACACGUGCUACAAUGGUCGGUACAGAGAGCAGCUACCUAGUGAGAGGAUGCGAAUCUAUAAAACCGUUUUCAGUUCGGAUUGGAGUUUGCAACUUGGCUCCCAGAAGGUGGAAUUGGUUGUAAUUGGAGAUCAACCAUGAUCCGGUGAAUACGUUCCCGGGCCU
rnacentral:rRNA from 1 species